rnacentral:lncRNA from 1 species
UGAAAAUUGUAAAAAAUUUUGAACCAACCGUUUUGUCAGAAAAAUUACACUGGUUAUAUAGCAAUUUGACAAACACCAAUUUUGAUCAUUGAGAAGCUUAAUAUUCCUUUUACAAAACAAUGUAAUUAAAACAUUUAGCUGACUUUACAGAGUUAUUUCCCUGUAGUGUUAGGUACCACCUUAAUCGAAAUCCAAAACCAAAUGUUUAAAAAAAUGUUGACUUCUAUAUACAUGUACUACUAUAGGAAGCCACAACUCCACUGACACCAUAUGAUACAAAGUCGGAUAUAUUUGUGAUAUGACAUCAUCAUGUAUAAUUGUUUGGUAUUUCCUAAUUCCUAAAUUUGUCUUUGAAACAUUUUUUUUCAACAGAAAACACCA